CCUACGGGAGGCAGCAGUAGGGAAUCUUUCACAAUGGGCGAAAGCCUGAUGGAGCAACGCCGCGUGCAGGAUGAAGGCCUUCGGGUUGUAAACUGCUUUUAUAAGCGAGAAAUAUGAUGGUAACUUAUGAAUAAGGAUCGGCUAACUACGUGCCAGCAGCCGCGGUCAUACGUAGGAUCCGAGCAUUAUCCGGAGUGACUGGGUGUAAAGAGUUGCGUAGGUGGCAUAAUAAGUAGCUAGUGAAAUCUGGUGGCUCAACCAUUCAGACUGUUAGCCAAACUGUUAAGCUCGAGACCGUGAGGGGUAACUGGAAUUUCUAGUGUAGGAGUGAAAUCCGUAGAUAUUAGAAGGAACACCAAUAGCGUAGGCAGGUUGCUGGGACGGUUCUGACACUAAGGCACGAAAGCGUAGGGAGCAAACGGGAUUAGAUACCCCAGUAGUC
rnacentral:rRNA from 1 species